UACGUAGGGUGCAAGCGUUGUCCGGAAUUAUUGGGCGUAAAGAGCUCGUAGGCGGUCUGUCGCGUCGGCUGUGAAAUCCCGAGGCUCAACCUCGGGUCUGCAGUCGAUACGGGCAAACUAGAGUACUGCAGGGGAGACUGGAAUUCCUGGUGUAGCGGUGAAAUGCGCAGAUAUCAGGAGGAACACCGGUGGCGAAGGCGGGUCUCUGGGCAGUAACUGACGCUGAGGAGCGAAAGCGUGGGGAGCAAACAGG
rnacentral:rRNA from 1 species